CGCACAUUGCACUCUCUGGUAUUCCGGAGAGUAUGCUUGUUUGAGUAUCAGUAAACACCUCAAAUCUCGACAUUCGUGUUGAGAAUUGGACUUGAGCAAUCCCAACUCUUUGCAAAAAGAGGCGGGUUGUUUGAAAUGCAGGUGCAGCUGGACAUUCUUCUGAGCUAAAAGCAUACUUAUUUAGUCCCGUCAAACGGAUUAUUACUUUUGCUCUAGCUAAUAUAAAGGUCGAAUGUACUACAUGCUGACUGAUGCAGGAUUACCAAGUUUUCUAGUAAAACUUGUAAACUCGAUCUCAAAUCAAGUAAGACUACCCGCUGAACUUAA
rnacentral:misc_RNA from 1 species